GACUCUGACUUCACUGAAGAAAAGUUGAAUUGUGAGUCCUGGUGACUGCACCCCCGGGGUAUUCCAUGGGAGUCAACCACAGAGGAACCAGAUGCAAGGAGCAGUAGAUAGAAAAACUGUACUGGGAGAAAAUGUAAGUUCUAUGCCCUGUGCCCCAUAGGCAUACUAUAUGUACAUCUGGGGCAAUGAGAUUUGGCAACUUGAUCCACAGUUGUGGUUUUUGAAUUCCAACCCACUGGCCUCGUAUUUCUUCUGCCUUGUUUCCUAUUGUCAGCACUGGCAGUCCUCCAGUUUGAUUUUACCACUAAUUGUGUUGCACGUUACCGUACUGAAAUGAAUCAAAUCAAAAUGCUUUUCCUGGAGCAUUAGAUAAAGCAGGCGAGGGUUCUGGGUAAUGAGCAGAUGCUGCUAAUGCAGGGACAGUAGAGGCCUUGCCAGGACUCCAUCUGCUCCAUGCUUGCCUGACUUUGGGCGUAAGCCAAAGCUUUUGGGGAACUGAAGUCUACUUUAACUGCGCCCUCUUCCCCCAGAUUCUCAUAGUUUGACUUGGAAACUUCCUAUGGUGUAAAAUGAGAACAUCCUUUUUGUACUACCUUUAAGACUUAAGCUGUCAUGUUUGUCUGUGGAUAUAGAGGGGAAAUAAUGUUGCCCCCAUUUAUGUUAAUAUUUUGAAACCUAAUCAGCAGUAGCUAAUAUUACUUGUCAUAGGUUGGUAUAGAACAAACAAAAGUGAUUUCUGCAGUGAUCAGAAUGCACUUGCUUAUAUGCAUGCUCUGUUGUUAGGAAUUGAGGCAGCACUGCUUUUGAAUGGCAAACCUGAUAUCUCAGUAGGGAAGAUGGUGAGUGAGAGGCUCUCGGAGCCAUUCCCUCCUCUACCUAGCACCCUGUAUUUAUAAUAUCAGAAAUGGAGUGUUCUGGUGAACAGGUCUAUGUGUAGCAAACUUCUAAGUUCCAAAACAUGCCACAAAACAGGUACAACACCAAAUAGUGUAGCUUGCAGACGCUUUAAGGAAGAAGAGUGCCUUGGUCAAUCUUGCUGUGAAUUUACUCUACCUCUUCAUUGGUAAAAGGUAGGCAAAGUGAACUUGGAUUUUACACUUUAAAAAUAAGACACACAUUUUGAUGAUUUGGAAUUAACUGUAAUUUCAAGUUUUCUCUGCUGAACAUCUGAAACAAGUUGGCCAAGGGUCACUUCUGUUUUGCAGUUGCCAAGUAAAGGGGCAAGUAUUAUUAUAACCAUUUUACAAAUGGGAAAAAGGAGAUAAGGAACAGUUUAUUAACUCCAGCAAGUCACGGAGCUGGGAACAGAACCCAAGUUUUCUUACUUCUAGUUCUAUGCUUGCUUCACUGAGCCAUGAUGUGAAGCUCAACUUUCCAAUUCUAUUCAAUGUUAAUUUCUCGCCCUCAGGUCAUCUGAAUGGUAUCUGAUUUUGCUGUUUAUCACUUCAGACUUCAAGUGGGUUUUUUUUUUCCCAAAAGUCUAGGAUUCAAGAUAACAAGUUUGAGACUUCAGGCCAGUUCUAUUU